CUCCGGAGUAUCCUGAGCGAAGUUCGCCC
rnacentral:sRNA from 1 species